rnacentral:rRNA from 1 species
GUACACGCUGUGACUAGCAUAUCAAUAAGCGGAGGAAAAGAAACUAACAAGGAUUCCCCUAGUAACGGCGAGUGAAGCGGGAAGAGCUCAAAUUUGAAAUCUUAAAGGGUUUCCCUUUACGAAUUGUAGUUUAAAGAAGUGUUUUCUGUUGAGGUUUUGGUAAAAGUUCUUUGGAAUAGGACAUCAUAGAGGGUGAGAAUCCCGUAUUUGACCUUUACUUUCAACUUUGUGAUACACUUUCAAAGAGUCGGAUUGUUUGGGAAUGCAGUCCAAAAUGGGUGGUAAAUUUCGUCUAAAGCUAAAUAUUGGCGAGAGACCGAUAGCGAACAAGUACCGUGAGGGAAAGAUGAAAAGAACUUUGAAAAGAGAGUUAAACAGUACGUGAAAUUGUCAAAAGGGAAGCGUUUGACACCAGUGUUGUUUUUCUGAAAAUCAAUUAAAGAACUGUUUAUGCUAAGUUGUUUAGACUUUAUCAGCUAACUGUUUAGUUUUGAGCUUUUCUUUAAUGCACUUUUCAGUUAACAAGUCAACAUCAAUUUCUUUUGCUGUAAAAAAGCUUGAGGAAGGUGGCUUGAGAUUCGUCUUAGGUGUUUAUAGCCUCUUGCCUAUGCAGUCGGAGAGAUUGAGGUCUGCAGCGUAGAUCCUUCGGGGCUAAAUGCAUUUGUGCUAAGUUAUAGCAUUUUAUAGACAACUUGUUGACUAUGAUUUGUCUUGUAGCUUACUCGCUUAUGUUAUUUUACCUACGCUUAGGAUGUUGAGUCGUAGAGCACGCAG